GAUGAACGCUGGCGGCGUGCCUAAUACAUGCAAGUCGAGCAAACGGACGAGAAGCUUGCUUCUCUGAUGUUAGCGGCGGACGGGUGAGUAACACGUGGAUAACCUACCUAUAAGACUGGGAUAACUUCGGGAAACCGUAGCUAAUACCGGAUAAUAUUUUGAACCGCAUGGUUCAAAAGUGAAAGACGGUCUUGCUGUCACUUAUAGAUGGAUCCGCGCUGCAUUAGCUAGUUGGUAAGGUAACGGCUUACCAAGGCAACGAUGCAUAGCCGACCUGAGAGGGUGAUCGGCCACACUGGAACUGAGACACGGUCCAGACUCCUACGGGAGGCAGCAGUAGGGAAUCUUCCGCAAUGGGCGAAAGCCUGACGGAGCAACGCCGCGUGAGUGAUGAAGGUCUUCGGAUCGUAAAACUCUGUUAUUAGGGAAGAACAUAUGUGUAAGUAACUGUGCACAUCUUGACGGUACCUAAUCAGAAAGCCACGGCUAACUACGUG
rnacentral:rRNA from 1 species